GGUCGAGACCGGGCCCCGCUGACGAUCCCUGCGGAUCGUGAUGUCGGUCGCAUCA
rfam:Paracoccus sphaerophysae strain HAMBI 3106 Contig_40, whole genome shotgun sequence.